UGCCAAGUCACAAUAUCUUCAAACUUAACU
rnacentral:piRNA from 1 species